CCUACGGGGGGCAGCAGUGAGGAAUAUUGGUCAAUGGACGAGAGUCUGAACCAGCCAAGUAGCGUGAAGGAUGACUGCCCUAUGGGUUGUAAACUUCUUUUAUAUGGGAAUAAAAUGUUCCACGUGUGGGCUUUUGUAUGUACCAUAUGAAUAAGGGUCGGCUAACUCCGUGCCAGCAGCCGCGGUAAUACGGAGGAGCCGAGCGUUAUCCUGAUUUAUUUGGUUUAAAGGGAGCGUAGGUGGAGUGUUAAGUCAGAUGUGAAAGUUUGCGGCUCAACCGUAAAAUUGCAGUUGAAACUGGCAGUCUAGAGUACAGUAGAGGUGGGCGGAAUUCGAGGUGUAGCGGUGAAAUGCUUAGAUAUCACGAAGAACUCCGAUUGCGAAGGCAGUUCACUGGACUGAAACUGACACUGAGGCGCGAAAGUGUGGGUAUCAAACAGGAUUAGAUACCCGGGUAGUC
rnacentral:rRNA from 1 species